AACGAACGCUGGCGGCAUGCCUAACACAUGCAAGUCGAACGAGACCUUCGGGUCUAGUGGCGCACGGGUGCGUAACGCGUGGGAACCUGCCCUUAGGUUCGGAAUAACUCCCCGAAAGGGGUGCUAAUACCGGAUAAUGUCUUCGGACCAAAGAUUUAUCGCCUUUGGAUGGGCCCGCGUUGGCUUAGCUAGUUGGUAGGGUAACAGCCUACCAAGGGGACGAUCCAUAGCUGGUCUGAGAGGAUGAUCAGCACACUGGGACUGAGACACGGCCCAGACUCCUACGGGAGGCAGCAGUGGGGAAGAUUGGACAAUGGGCGAAAGCCUGAUCCAGCAAUGCCGCGUGAGUGAUGAAGGCCUUAGGGUUGUAAAGCUCUUUUACCCGGGAUGAUAAUGACAGUACCGGGAGAAUAAGCUCCGGCUAACUCCGU
rnacentral:rRNA from 1 species